rnacentral:rRNA from 1 species
UACGGAGGGUGCGAGCGUUGUCCGGAAUCAUUGGGCGUAAAGGGCGCGUAGGUGGCGCGGUCAGUUCGUGGUGAAAGCGCGGGGCUCAACCCUGCGUCGGCCAUGAAUACUGCCGCGGCUGGAGCACUGUAGAGGCAGGCGGAAUUCCGGGUGUAGCGGUGGAAUGCGUAGAGAUCCGGAAGAACACCGGUGGCGAAGGCGGCCUGCUGGGCAGUUGCUGACACUGAGGCGCGACAGCGUGGGGAGCAAACAGG